rnacentral:rRNA from 1 species
UACAGAGGGUGCGAGCGUUAAUCGGAAUUACUGGGCGUAAAGCGCACGUAGGCGGACUCUUAAGUCGGUGGUGAAAUCCUGGAGCUCAACUCCAGAACUGCCUUCGAUACUGAGAGUCUCGAGUCCGGGAGAGGUGAGUGGAACUGCGAGUGUAGAGGUGAAAUUCGUAGAUAUUCGCAAGAACACCAGUGGCGAAGGCGGCUCACUGGCCCGGUACUGACGCUGAGGUGCGAAAGCGUGGGGAGCAAACAGG